AGUUGAUAGAUAUCGGCGUAAAGAGUGGUUAAAAAAUAAUAAAACUAAAGACAAACACCUUCAAAGCUGUUAUACGCAACUGAAAGCAGGAAAAACUCCCACGAAAGUGGCUUUAAAACCAUGAACCCACGAAAACUGGGACACAAACUGGGAUUAGAUACCCCACUAUGCCCAGUCCUAAACACAAGUGGCAUCUUCACACCUGUCACUCGCCUGAGUACUACAAGCACCAGCUCAAAACCCAAAGGACUUGGCGGUGCUUUAGAACCUCCUAGAGGAGCCUGUUCUAUAACCGAUAAUCCCCGUUCAACCUCACCCUUUCUUGCCACUCCCGCCUAUAUACCGCCGUCGUCAGCUCACCCUGUAAAGGCUUUAUAGUAAGCAAAAUUGGUACAACCCAACACGUCAGGUCGAGGUGCAGCAUAUGAAAGGGAAAGAAAUGGGAUACACUCCCUGAAACAGGAAACACAAAUGGUAACUUGAAAUAGUUACCUGAAGGUGGAUUUAGUAGUAAGAAGGAAAAUAGAGAAUUCCCCUGAAAAUGGCUCUGAAGCGCGCACACACCGCCCGUCACUCUCCCCAAGCACCACAAACCCUAACAUAUAGAAUAAUAAACGCAAAGGGGAGGCAAGUCGUAACAUGGUAAGUGUACCGGAAGGUGUACUUGGAAUAA
rnacentral:rRNA from 1 species